rnacentral:rRNA from 1 species
GACGAACGCUGGCGGCGUGCUUAACACAUGCAAGUCGAACGGACAGGCCCUGCUUUUGUGGGGUGCUCGAGUGGCGAACGGGUGAGUAACACGUGAGUAACCUGCCCUUGACUUUGGGAUAACUUCAGGAAACUGGGGCUAAUACCGGAUAGGAGCUCCUGCUGCAUGGUGGGGAUUGGAAAGUUUCGGCGGUUGGGGAUGGACUCGCGGCUUAUCAGCUUGUUGGUGGGGUAGUGGCUGACGAAGGCUUUGAAGGGUAGCCGGCCUGAGAGCGUGACCGGGCACAUUGCUACUGAGGUACGGCCCAGACGCCUACGGGAGGCAGCAGUGGGGAACAUGGCGCAAUGGGCGGAAGCCUGUUGCAGCAACGCCGCGUGCGGGAUGACGGCCUACGGGUUGUAAACCGCUUUCGCCGGUGACGAAGCGGGAGUGACGGUAAUGGGUAAAGAAGCACCGGCUAACUACGUG